rnacentral:rRNA from 1 species
AGUGAACGCUGGCGGUAGGCCUAACACAUGCAAGUCGAACGGCAGCACAGUAAGAGCUUGCUCUUACGGGUGGCGAGUGGCGGACGGGUGAGGAAUACAUCGGAAUCUACUUUUUCGUGGGGGAUAACGUAGGGAAACUUACGCUAAUACCGCAUACGUCCUACGGGUGAAAGCAGGGGAUCUUCGGACUUUGCGCGAUUGAAUGAGCCGAUGUCGGAUUAGCUAGUUGGCGGGGUAAAGGCCCACCAAGGCGACGAUCCGUAGCUGGUCUGAGAGGAUGAUCAGCCACACUGGAACUGAGACACGGUCCAGACUCCUACGGGAGGCAGCAGUGGGGAAUAUUGGGCAAUGGGCGCAAGCCUGAUCCAGCCAUACCGCGUGAGUGAAGAAGGCCUUCGGGUUGUAAAGCCCUUUUGUUGGGAAAGAAAAGCAGCAGGUUAAUACCCCGCUGUUCUGACGGUACCCAAAGAAUAAGCACCGGCUAACUUCGUG